ensembl:lncRNA
AAUUUAUUUAUGUAUUUAAAAUGGCUGUGUGGAAGGAGUAAGUCUUAUUAUGGAUGUUUUCAUAACAUUUAAAUGUUUUUUAGUCUCUGCUAGAAACACUAAAAUACUGAGUAAAUUUUACGACACUAUUUUAGAGUGCGUUUGAAUCAGCGCAUGCGCAUUGGGACAAACGAAAGAACCGCGCAGAUGUCCAUUGUCCGUCCGUUCGUUGGCAGCAGACAGAGUUGUGAAUAUCUCCGGAAUCUCUCAGGCGACUGUUUUUGUAUUUAGCCGGCUGGGACAUGAGUUCAGAUCAAGAUCUACAGAUCAAGGAGGAGUUUUGGAGAAUAACUACAAUUUCUCUAGAGCAAAGCUUCAUGUACAAACUAGACCACUAUACACCAAAGCUUACUGCCCUGAUGAAAGCCAAGGGAGGUGUUGUGGGGACCAGGCUGAGGCCCCAUCUGGAUAAACUGAGUCAGAACCCAAGCACUGACAUGUGACGUGACGCAGUUAUCAGUGGCCUCAUACUAUUCCUUGGUGAAAAAGAAGAGAAACUUUUCGAAGAUUGCCUGGAGGACAAUCGCAGUGAUGCCACUCAACACAUAGUCAAGAUCCUGGUUGUCCAUGGUACUGAUGGAGAAGAACCAGUAGAUGUUUCCAUCAUUCUUGAAGGGAAGGAGGUAUUGACACGAUGCAACAGCACAGCCAAAGCUUGCACGUUGCUAAUGGGACUGAUUUAUUCCCUGAACCUUGCCUACCCCUCGACUCUGCGCUACACCUUUGAGGUGUUUCAAAAACUUUUCCUGGAACUGAAUGGGAUAAAGCUGUCACCAAAAGUACAUCUUUAAAGUUGAAGUUGCUGUCUGAAAGGAAUUUUCUUUCUUAAAUGUUCCUAAUGUUGUCAACAAAGGCAACUGCUGUCAUUCAUGCUCACAAGGUAAAAAAAAAGUUAAAAAUAACCUUUGUUUUAAAGGUUUUAACAGAGGAUUUGAUGUUGUCCUCAAACUUUAAUGUUUUAACCGAAUGCUAAUAUAAAUAUGUUAAUGGAUGUUGUUGUUUAGAAUGUUGUUCAUGUCAGUACAGCAUAUUUUGUCAGGUCAAACCCUCAAUCUGUUUUGUCACCUGAUGUGCCCUGUUUAGUUUAAUGCGUCCAGGAGUCAAAAACAUUUUGAUUUUCCAGUGAUAUGCUUUUUUUCUGUAUAGCGUAAUGAUCACUCAGUAAAGGUAAACUUUUUUCUUUAUUGAUUUACUGCUGCUGAGAUUUAAUUUAAUUUUUUGUCAUGUGAAAUGUUGACUGCUGUUUCAUGUACAGUUCUACAUAGCUGUAUAAAAUGAGGUGUUACGUAAGGUACCUGACAAAGGUUUAUGAAUAAAUAAUGGAAUUGUAUUUUAGCCGUGUGAUUAUUAAUAGUAUUUGGUAAUAUUUAUCAAAAGAGAAUUUGCAACAUUUACAUAAAUGAAUUAGGUAAUAUAACUUCAAACAACCAAGUAAUUAAAAUGAUCAAACAGGAUAAAAAGUACUUGAUAAUUUUACGACAGUAAAUAUCAAAGAUAAAUAAAAUCUACUCAAUAUUUUGAUGUUGUAAAUGUAUAUAUAUAUACAAAAAAUAUAGUAUAUUGUACUUAAUUUGUGUGUGUAAUAAAAAUUGAAACAUCAGUUAAACUAAGUAACACUUACCUAAUAUUUUCACAAAUGUUACCAUCAGAAAUAAGUAGAUUUUACUUAAUACUAUUAAGGAACUUUUACUGGAUAUCACAG